rnacentral:misc_RNA from 1 species
AAUUCUCAACCAUCAUUUCUCUUUCUCUUUAAGAGAGAUAUAUGGCUUGGAGUUGGGGGUUGCUGGCAGGAAACUGUCAGCUCUCCUUAAAUGUAUUAGCGAUCAAGUUGGCUAGUCUUUGACAUGCACGGCUUCUGAUGUGAUAAUGAUCGUCAUGGCUGGAGUGUCUUUCCUAGACUAUGUACACAAGAUAGCUUCUAAUUUAAAUAAAUUUGGGAAGAAAAAAGAGAGGGGAGAGUUCUAUCAAGCUUAGCUACUAGGCAGUCUGACCAUCCAGGCUGGCGAACACAAGCAAAUGACUUGACCCUUUCCUUGAUAUUUCCUUAUCUUCAUUG